UACGUAGGGUGCAAGCGUUAAUCGGAAUUACUGGGCGUAAAGCGUGCGCAGGCGGUUUUGUAAGUCUGUCGUGAAAGCCCCGGGCUCAACCUGGGAAUUGCGAUGGAGACUGCAAGGCUUGAAUCUGGCAGAGGGGGGUAGAAUUCCACGUGUAGCAGUGAAAUGCGUAGAGAAUGUGGAGGAACACCGAUGGCGAAGGCAGCCCCCUGGGUCAAGAUUGACGCUCAUGCACGAAAGCGUGGGGAGCAAACAGG
rnacentral:rRNA from 1 species